UGGUCCCAGCCACUCAGGAGGCUGAAGUGGAAAGGAUCACUUGAGCCUGGGAAGUCGAAGCUGCAGCGAGCUGUGAUCGCAUCACUGCUGUCCAGCCUGGGUGACAGAGUGAGACCCCAUCUCAAAAUAAAUAAUAAUAAUGCUAAAUUUAAAUAGGAAAUAUUCUAUACUAAUUCACAAGGUAAAAAAUAUAUAUUUUUUUUCUAGCUCUGUCCAGUAAAAUAGCCUAUCGAAGCAUUUGUGACUGUAAUAACAACGUGUGCCUCUAGAGCCUAGACUUGUCUCUAAUUCUAUUCC
rnacentral:lncRNA from 1 species